AGGGAACGGCUCGCGUCUUUCGAUUUUCGAACUCCAAAUUUUCGGCUUUGGGGGGAUGGAAUCCCGUUCCGGCUCGUCACUGGAGCAGAGCCGCUUGUGCCACCCCGAUGUUUCCUUGGAUGACAGGUGGGCCCACGUUCCGGUGGGGCGGGCUUGUCAUACGGGAGAAACAGACGGGCCAUACGAUUGAUUCAUUUCAUUCGGUGAUGCGUAAACGUCACUACUGCUCGUAGAUAGCUGGGCUGGUUCUGACCUACUAAUUGCGAGGCCGCAUGGGCUCAGGUCCAGCGUCUAUAAUCGAGAGACUUUCAGGAGGGAAAAUCCUAUUCGCCGCUUGCUGCGGCGAAUGGUCGAGGUUUCGCACAAGGGCGGAUGCAAGGGAGGCUAGUUGGCCCGGCCAUUUCCAGCUUUGCACAGUGCGGCCAAGUUUCUUCUGUGUUGUUUCUUUUUCUAUUUACUAGAAAAAAGGCUCGUGCGUUGUAACGGAAGCGAAAAAAAAUCCACGUUUCUAAUAUAACAUGAUGUCCUGUAUUUCCCGAGUCUAAGAAGAAACUAUAUGGUUCAGACUUUGGACUCGUGUCUCACGUUUAAACGAAGAAAUAUUCCUCUCUAGGGUAAAGGUGCAAAUAUAGAUAAAAUGUAUAGAUUGCUUUCCCAAAUUAUUUUGAACCUUUUCCAAAAUUCACAUUAAAGUUCUACUCCAAGUUUAGUAUCCAAACCUUUCCCAUAAAUCUUUCUGCAUUUGUUAAAGCCACCCACAAAUUUUCAUCAUUUUUCAGAAAUCCUAAAUCGAACUUCUAGUUCUAACUCAUUUGAAUUGAAUUUAAAUGAGUUUGAUUAAUAUGAUUCCAUCAUGACAAAACAUUAUCUUCCCAAUAUACAUAUUUAAAGUAGUCCAGGGAAUUUGUCCUCACUUCAAAACUCUUCUCCAAACCCCUUUGUGCUUGUCUUCUACUCCCUCCGUUCCUAAAUAUAAGUCUUUCUAUAGAUUUCACUAAUAGACUACAUACGAAUGUAUAUAGACAUACUUUAGAGUGUAGAUUCAUUCAUUUUGCUCCGUAUGUAGACUUCUAAUGAAAUCUCUUAAAAGACUUAUAUUUAGGAACGGGGGGAGUAGUUCUUUGUUUAUUUCUAAACAGAAAAAAAAAAUAGCAGAAGAGAGGAGCACAAACACAUAGCCAGCCACAGCCCACUUGCCUAGCCGGCCUAGCGAAAGGGAUCAGCUCAUGAGUUUAAUUCUUUUUCCCCUCCUUUCCUUGAGUGCCCAAUUCUGCUUGUUGAUCCUUCAAACAGAUUACGUAUAUGAACUGAUAGAAUCAUAUCUAAAUAAGCGAGGUGGGACAAGAGCAGAGCUGGUAAGUUCGAUCCUAACAGCUCUUGUACACCUAAAAAGUCAACUUACUUGUUCACAAUCCAUAAAAGAACUUCAGUUGAAAGGCCACUUGCUUGGCUCGUUGCUAGACCCAAAAUUGACCGAGCUGAACAUCACGAAGACAACGUACGGACAAAUAUUUGGAAAUCCCUAUUUGACGCGCGUUGCGUCAAAAUACCGCAACUGAAGAACGACUGGUCAUCAGGAUUGGGCCGGCCCGUUUAACCGUCUCAAUGUGUUUCCGGUUUUGGGAACCUUCUAGAGGUUUUCAGUCUUUUUUUUGGUUUUAGGAACUUUUUAGAAGAUUCCCUAAACCGGUUUUUCUUUUUUCUUUAUUCUUUUUUGUUUCUUUUUUUGUUUCUGUUUCAAAAUUGUUCUGAAUUUUCAAAAAAUGUUUCGGAAAUUGAAAAAUGUUUUGGAAUUUGAAAAAAUGUUCCAUACUUUGGAAAAUGUUUGGAAUAUGAAAACAUGUUCCAGAAUGUAAAAAAAUUGUUUCGGAUUUUGAAAAAAUGUUUCGGAGUUUGAAAUAUUUUUUCUGGAUUUGAAAAAAUGUUCCGGCAUUUGAAACAAUGUUCCGAAAUUUGAAAAAAUGUUACAGAGUAUAUAGAAAUAUUCUGGCAUUUAAAAAACUGUUCACGAAUUUGAAAAAAUGUGCUGGUAUUUGAAAAAAUGUUCCGAAACUUGAAAAAUGUUCUAAAUUUUGGAAAAAUGUUCCGGAAUUUGUAAAAAUCUUCUGGAAUUUGAAAAAAUGUUCCUAAAUUUGUAAAAAUGCUUUGGAAUUCGAAAAAAUGUUCUACAAUUUCAAAAAAUGCUCCAGAAUUUGAAAAAUGUUUCGGAAUUUUAAAAAUGUUCCAAAAUUUGAAAAAAUUCUCCAUAUUUGAAGAAAUGUUCUGGAUUUUAAACAAAUGUUCCGGAAUUUGAAAACAAAUCAGAAUCUGGAAAUUAUACGGAAUUUAAAAAAAUGUUCCAGAAUUUGAAAAACGAUUUUGCACAUAUUUUAAAAAAUAUUCCUGUUUAAAAAAGUUUCUUCUCGUAAUUCAGAAAAUGUUUGUGCUUGAAAAUGUGUUUGCGCUUUCAAACUUGUUUCGGAUUUUUCAAAAUUUUGUUCUUAGGAUUCAAAAAAUGUUCACGCUUAUAAAUUUAUUCACCUUUUUUGAAAAUUUUUGUUUAAAUUAGAAAAAUGUUUUGCUUUAAAUAAAAAAUGAAGGAAAAAUAAAAAACCGAAAAAGUUAAAAUACAAAAAGCAGUGAAGGAGAAUAGUAACAGAAAAUACUGGGCCGGCCCAUUAGGGUAGCCCUCCUAUGCGGCGGUGGAGCUCCCUGCCGCAAUGAGCGGCAGGUAGGAGCUCCCCGAAUUUUUAGUACCUCCUCAAAUAGCAAAAAAUCAUCUAAGUGGGACGAAACAAAAAUAUCACUUUAAAUUAGUACCACCUCAUGUAUUAUUAAAAAACAAAAAGAAUAUCAAUUUACUUUAUUAAUGGGUAUAUAUUCUGUUCUUCACUUGAUUUCUGUUUUUCGUUUUUUUCUGCUUCUUUUUCUGUUUCUCCUUUUUUCAUCUUACUUUCUUCACGUUAUUUCUUUUCAAUUUUGAUUAAGAAAUUUAAAAAAUGUUUCAAAAAAUGUUCCAAAUUAAAAAAAACUGUUUUGUACAUUUUUAUCAGAAAUAUCAAAAAUGUCCAAAAUUCCAAAAAUAAUAGAACUUCAAAAUGUUUGUGUUUCAAAACAAAUAUUGUGUUUAUCAAUUUUGUUCGUGAGUUUAAAAAAUGUUCAAUGAUUUCAAAAAAUGUUCAUGCAUUUAAGUUUUUGUAAAGUUUUUUACGAAAUCUUACAUUUUUCAUGAUUUCAUAUUUUUGUUCAGAAAUUUUAAAAAUGUUUGCGUUUCAGAAAAUGUUUACGAAUUUCAAAAAUAUUCGCAUUUCCAAAUUAUUGUUGGGAGAUUCAGAAAAUGUAUGUAUUUCAGAAAAAAAUGUUCGUGUUAUCAAACAUUGUUCGUGUUUUUGAAUUUAUUUCAGGAGUUUAAAAAACUGUUCACGGUUAUGAAAAUUGUUCGGUUUUUUUAAAAAAAUUGGGAGUUUAAAAAUGUUCCACUUCUUAAAAUAUGUUCAAAAAUUAAAUAAAUGUCUAGGAAUUUCAAAAAAUCUUCCACUUUUUUAUUUUCUUUUCUUUCCUCUCAUUUCAAUUUUGAUUUUCUUUCUUCCCUUACUUUUUCUAUUUUUAUAAAUCGUUGGGUUUUACUGUUUUGUUGUCCAGGAUUUUCAAAAAAUGUUUGUACUUCUCAAAAAAAAAUCAGAAGUUCAGAAAAUAUUCUUGUUAUUAACUUUUGUUCACAAAUUCAAAGAAAAUACUUUAUUUUGUAAAAAUUGCCUGCUUUUCAAAAAGAUCUAUAAGUUAAAAAAUGUUCACAUUUUCAAAUUAUGUUUGGGAGUUUCGAAAAAUCUUCCCAUUUCUACAUUUGCUCCACAAUUUUUUUUCAAAAUGUUCGCGUUUUCAAAUUUUUGGGAGUUCUUAUAAAUGCAUUUAAAGAAGAGUAAAAUACAUUAAAGGUCCUAAAAAUAUUCCAAGUGUGUCAAAUAGGUCUUAAAAGUUUGAAACCGUUCACCGCGGGUCCUAAAUGUGAGCAAGUCGUUCAUCAUGGGUCCUAAAAGUAUUUCAAGUGUGUCAAGUAAGUCCUAAAACUCGGAGGUAAAAUGCACAUGUAGGACUAGCGGUGAACGACUUGGGAUAAUUGCUAAAACUUGCCAACUUUUAAAAUUGGAAAAAACUAAGUUUUUAUUUGGUCAACUAAACUAACCACCCCGCCCCCUCUACACAUACUUAGGAUCCUACAAGUACCCGAGCCGUGUCGAGGAGUGCAACCGCGAUAGCGUCAUGGGUCACCGCCGAGAUGUCCACCACGAGCUUGUUUAGAGCGAGGGUGAUGUUUGCGCUGCGGGUGGCGUAGCCAUGGCUGACCGCAUCAGGGAAGACCACCGUGAACUCAUUAUCCGCCAUCGGAGUCACCCGACAGCCCUACUAACAUCAGUAAAGGUGGUUGAGCUCUGCCUCAAUCAUCUUCGAGGAGGUCGUGCCCUCGCCGAUCACCGUCACAAUCGCCUCGAGCGAGGGCACGGGAGGAGGGAGAUCUGGAACCUUGAUGUGGAAGAAGCCAAGGCCUUCGAUACUAUGACCAUACAUCGACGGUCACCUCUCCCUCGCAAGGAAGUGCCUUUUCCCACAAGCGACCGAGGAGAGCUCGGAGGCCGAGCGUUCCGGCAGGAACGUGGUGCUUGUGAUAUGUGUUGGUUCCGUGAAGAGGAAUGGGUGAUGCAGCAUAAUAUAGGUAAGUAUUUCCCUCAAUAGAGAACCGAGGUUUAUCGAACCAAUAGGAGUAACAACCGGCCCCCAUCUUCAGCAAGUGCACACAAAAGAAACAAACACUUUGUGGGGACCCCGACUCAUAAGUCGUGAUCACUCAAUCUACGUGCAUAGUGAUCUCAAAGAUCAAUGCUCACUAAACACACAUAAACUGAAUUACAAGAGUCUUACAUCCAUUAUGUAUUGUUUUACUCGAAUAUGGCCUUUAUGGCUAGGUCUUCAUAUAUUUGCAGCGGGAAAUCUUCAUCAAUAGUGUGAACCCAUACCAUCGGCCAUAACCCUACAAGUUUCUGACUAGGAAGCAUCCUAGCUUGCACAUACGUCAUUAAGGUGAUCUUCAUCAUAUCCUCUUCUCUCAUGCCUGGACAAUAAAAUAACCAAUGGCAAGCCAAUGAGUACUUUGAAUGUACUCGCAAGCAACCCAUGUUCUGGAACAAGGCAAUAACAAUGCAUGAUAUAGCACUAAGUAGGUAAGUUGUAGGAAGCUAACUUUAAGUGCAAUGACAUGGUCAAUGUAUCUUGUAAGAGCGUGCAACAUGAAGUUGCAGAUAUCCAUAUGAACAACUUAUAGAUAUCAAUGUAAGCAGGGGUUGAACGUCUCAUGUUCAAUCAUCAUGUUAAGUCAUCUCACUUAGCUCAGGUAUCACCUUUUUCACACACGCACACCAAGUUUGGAAACCAUGGACGUAGCCCAAGAGCGGUCAUCCAACUGUCAUUGACUGUAGACACGGCUAUUCGAAUAAUUUUACACUGUGUAGAGGUUGCACACUUUACCCACAAGACUUGGGAAACUUCCAUGUCAAUCCACGACUCGCGGUAUUUUUCGUACCCGAGGUAAGUACUCGAACAAUGCAUUUCCCAUGACGAUACUAACCAAGUGUCCACUCGUUGGUACCAUCCCUCAUGAUGUACACCACAAGUAUCAUCCAUGAGGGCAUGCAACGGUGUGCCUGGUCUGUGUGAAAACAGCCCAUGGUCGUCCUUUCUUGGCAUGACCUCUUAUCGAGAGUUACCAUGUCACUCCCACCACUAGUAAUGCACGCUCUCAGCCAGCACCAACCACAGUAAUCAACAAAUCCCCGUCCCAUAUGGGGCGUCAUUGUCUUACAUGUAAGGUUGGAGUAACGAUCGCAACUUAAACCAAUCCGUUUUCAAAAAUAACACACUCACUUGCCUCAGUACACCACUUCUUUCUCAAGCGGUUACCUAGCUCAACACCGUCUCCCGCGGGGCAUUAGUGGCACCCGACGCGGUUUUUGAAGGUAUUUGUAAGUGCAUCUAGUGCCCCUUAGUGAUUUUUGUGAUUUGAAGACUUAUAGGUUAAGAUACUGAUAAGUUUGUAAGUGUACACACGCUCUAUAAGUCGUUGAGGAGAUUGAGUUAUUCGAUGAAUAUCGACCCCUAAAAAUGUAUGUCUUCGGGUGAAGACUCUGGUCAUUCCUUGAAGACUUUGACUGCGAAGAAAUUGCGAAGAAAAUGAUAUUCCUAAUGAAGACAUUGAAGAUUAGGAAUUCGGUGUGUCCCGAAGAAAAUACUAUUAAGACUUUGAAGCUUGAAGUUUACUCUUUCUGUUUCAUUUUUUUACUCUCGAGUCAUAUGAACAUCGUACUGUUAAUGGGGGUUGAGGUAAAACUAUGGAAAUAAUUUCCUCAUGAUGCUCAACCCAAACCUACACCUACCAAAUCCUCAGAGUGAGGAACAUGAGAGACAUGAUGAUUCACACAGUUGAAAGUUCCGACCGUUGCCGCGCCACGUGCCACCCGUCCCAAAUCUUAUCCACCCUAUGGUCAUAUCAUUAAGGGCAUUUAUGUCAAAUCAUGUCGGGAUGCUCCCGAGGCUAUAAAUAGCCGCCCGCCACAACCACUAGCUGGUUGGGUGCUCUGAGAGAAACUGACACUAGUCAUUUAGAGCAACCCAAAUUCCUCAACACCUUUGAGCAAAAAUCAACAAGUGAGAAAUACCACAAACACCCAAACCCAAACCAAAACCCAAGUGAUUGAGCAUCACUGAAAAAGUUAUUCCUGUGUGGAACUGAUGCUUGAUACCUUUGAGGACUGUGCAUCCUCCAGACGGCUAGGCGUCAUGGUCUAGAGCAUCGAUCAGUCAAUUGUGGAUCAUCAGUGACCGAGUUUGUGAGGGUUUGGAAGUCUGCCUUGGAGACUUACCACGAGUGUUGGGUGAGGACUGUGUGUCCUUAGCUCAAGGAGAAUACGGAAGGGACUGUGUGUCCUUUGGUUUGAAUAGCAAGCCGCUCCAAACCAUACGUACAACUGUCACAAAAGUUGGAACUGGGUCAUCAAAAAAUGUCUUCAUCAAGCUACUAGUUCUAUUUCUUCAACUCGUCUCAUUUCCUCAGUUGCAUGUUGAAGACUUUCAGCUGUACUGUUUGAAGAAUUUGACUGAAGACUUUCUCUGAAUUUCUCACCUCAAAUUCUUCAAAUGAGUUAUUCACCACUUGCUUAUCCUGUACUCAUGACGUGUGCAAACCGAUUAUCUUAAUUCAAGUUGAGUACUUUGAUGUAGACGUUUUUGUACUUCUGACUAAGUACUAUUUCCGCUGUACUCAGUUCAUGACUGAGGACUUUCCUCACUAGGAAUUUCCUCAAUGAUGAAUUUGUAAAAAUCGCUUAUUCACCCCCCUCUAGUCGAUAUAACGCACUUUCAAUUGGUAUCAGAGCAAGGUACUCCCUUGUUUUUUAUGAUUUUGGUUUAACCGCCUGGAGUUUUAGUUAUGUCGACCGCAAGUAUGAUCAAGGUUACUGCAGGUUGUCCUACCUUCGAAGGAAAGGACUUUCCCUANNNNNNNNNNNNNNNNNNNNNNNNUCCCUACUAGAAGACCAAGAUGCAAAUGCAUCUUCAAGAAAUUGACAACGAUCUCUUGUACAUUGUAGAAAAUAGCGUUCCCUCCAUCACUGCUACUAUCUUUGUUGCUGAUGUGAAGAAGUUCAAGCAACUCGACUCGCAAGCGAAGAAUAUCAUAUGUGGCCACCUCAGCAAAGGUCAGUAUGGCAGAGUGUGUGCUUUGGGCACAUCUAAGCUUAUGUCGGAUAGGCUGUCCAAAGUCAAUGAGGGAGUCUCAACACAGCGUGACUCUAGUGUCGAUGUUCUUCGCAAUCUCUUCAACCGUUUCAAGAGGCUUGACAAUGAAGGCUGCCAAGAAACAUUUGAUCGCCUCACUGACAUCUCAAAUGAAUUGCAAGCUCUAGGAGACAGAGACAUCACUAACCAAGAAGUUGUGAAGAAACUGUUACGAUCUCUUGAUCCAUCAUUUGACACACUGGUUCUAAUGAUCCAAGAACAAAGAGACUACAAGAUGCUUGAUCCUGCUGAUAUUCUUGAGAGACUCAAUACUCAUGAAUGCCAACAAGAAAAAAGAGAGACCUAUAUGGAGCAAGCUAUUCAAGACUUCAUGCACUCAAGGCAAAGGUUGUUUCCUCAUCUGAAGAAGAAGAAUCUGACUGCAGUCUUGGUGAUCCUGAAGAACUUGGGGAGCAACUUGCUAUGCUUGUGAGGAAAUUCCUGAAGUUCACUAAGCGUGGCCAGUUCGGAAAGUCAUCAAGAAAAUAUAUGAGGAAAUCAGAAUCUUCAUCUGAGGACUACAAGAAAAGAACCAGCCACAAAUGCAAGAAAUCUGGUCACUACAUUGCUGACUGUCCUCGCCGGGUGAAGGAAUCAAGAAAUAAGAAAUACAAGGAUGAAAGUUUUGAUGACUCGAAGAAAAAUAAGAAAUAUUCAAAGUCCUCAUCACACAAGAAGACCACUUUCAAAAAGGCUCAGGCACUCAUUGGCAAGGAAAUGGAUUUUGAAGAAGAAUCUCAAGAAUGUGAUGAAGAGGAAGGUUCUGAAGUGGAGUCAGAAUCUGGUGUGUCAAGUCUUGCACUUGCUACCACAUUCGUCAUCAAGUUGAUCUUCGACCUUGAAGAAAAUGACAACAACACUGAUGAAUAUGAUGAUGACUUCGCUCCAACCUAUUGCUUCAUGGCAAAAGGUUCAAAGGUACAAAACCACACAUCCUCCUGUGACUCUAGUGAGUGUGAACCUGAUGAUUAUCAAAAACUGAACUACUAUAAACUUGCCAACAUUGCCACUAAGCAACAAAGUGCUAUUGAAAAGCUUCAGAAACUACUAGACAAAAGCGUUGAUGUGUUGAAUGAUGAAAUGAAUCAUGCCCAAAUCCUCACUAAAGAUGUCCAAAGUCUUCAGUCUAGAUUUGAUAGUCUUCAAAACCGUUAUGGUACACUCUUGGCCGAUCAUGAGAAGCUUUCCUAUGAAUUUCUUCAAAGGAAGCUUGAUCUUGAGAAGUUAAAAUGUCCCAUGAUGAUCUUCAAAUGGAAAAUGAUUCAUUGCUUGCUCAACAGACCAGUACCACUCAGGAAGAAUUCAUUCCACCAUGUCUGAAAUGCAUCGAACGUGAUACUCCUAAUUCUUCACCUGAAUCCUCAAAUGCUUCUAUCGCUACAAAUUCUUCAACUAUUCAUGUGGUAUCAAAUUCUUCACUUGAGGAAACCACAAAUGCUACUGACGAAAAUGCAGGAUUGAAGGAAUUGUAUGUGACAGGCUUAUACAAAAGUCUCAAAGGGCAUCAAACCCUUUGCGAUGUGCUCAAAAGGCAGAUUCUGAACAGGAACCCGAGGAAAGAGGGCAUUGCCUUUGAUAGGAAACUGAACGUUGAUUGGUCAUAAUGGAAACCUAAGCAGUACCCCAAAACCUCAUGGGUUGCUGCUAAAGGACCUCCUAUUGAUCCAUCCACUCUAACAGGCUUUGCAUGUGAAAUGUAUUAUUCCUCUAAUGAGUUAUUUGAAUCCAACUAUAAAUUGUUCAAAAAUCAAUCUGGUGAAGUAUUUGCUCGAUAUGUUGGAACUAGCUACAGGAACGGACCUCCUCUAAGGAAAAUUUGGGUUCCCAAAACUUUCUUGGAAAAUCUUCAGGUGAAUGUCCUCAUGACACCACCAAUGAAGAAUCGGAACCCCAGAUCAAAUUCCUCACGUGGACCAAAGUCUUCACGAGGAUCAAAUUCCUCAAAUGGCCAAAAUUAUGCUCAUACUCGUACUAAUGCUUCUGAUAUGCAGGGAAACUACAAGGGACAUGAAUAUGUGCACUAUUUCACACGUCCUCAAAUUUACUUCUGAUCUAACAUUUCACACGUCCUCAAAUUUAUUGUUUGUGAUGAAAUUCAAGUCUCAUGAAAUUGAUAUCAUGUUCUUCAAAUCUGAAGCAUAUGAGAUGGUAAGUUGUACUAAUUCAUCUGCAGGAUGAUCAACCCAAGAACAGAAAGUGGGUUCUUGACAGUGGAUGUACAAAUCACAUGACUGGUGAUAGAAGCUUAUUGAUGAAUAUCCUGCUGACUCUGUCACCACUGAAGCAAAUUACUUACGCUGAUAAAGGUAAAAGCAAGGUAUUGGGACUUGGUAAAGUGGCUAUCUCUAAGGAUCGACACAUGGACAAAGUCAUGCUUAUCAAAUCCCUUGGGUUUAAUGUCAUGACAGUCUCAAUGCUUUGUGAUCUUGAUAUGAUUGUCAUAUUUGGAAAAUAUAAUGUGUAGUCAUCAUGGAAUCUGACAAAUCCAAAGUCUUCGAAGGCUUUAGGAGAGGGGACUUGUAUAUUGUUGAUUUUUUCACAGGUCCUCAACCAGCCACAUGUUUACUAGCAAAAACAUUAGAAGACUGGUUAUGGCAUCGACGACUUGGUCAUGCACGCAUGAGGAAUUUGCACACAUUGGCAAAGAAGAAGCAUGUCAUUGGCAUCGAAACUGUCAAAUUCCUCAAGGACCAUCUCUGUGGUGCUUGUGAGUCUAAAAAAAUUACCAGAUCCAAACACCCCUCGAAGACUAUCAUGACUACAAAUCAUCCAUUUGAAUUGCUUCAUAUGAAUCUCUUUGGACCUACUCAUCGUGCUACUAUAACCAAUGCUGCAUCUCUAUAUGGCUUUUUUCAUCGUUGAUGAUUAUUCUCAUUAUACUUGGGUACACAUCAUUGCUUACAAAACUGAAGUGCGGGAAGUCUUCAAACGAUUUUCCUCGACAUGCACCAUGUGUUCGACUACGGCUAGGAGGUUAGUUCGGUCCGGCUAGCAAGCCCCCGAGCCCAAGGAGUCGGAUCGAGGAACUUACACUUAAGGCGACAACUGUUUUAGGAAAUCGAAAAGGUAUGCCCCAAGUGUUGGCUUGAGGCACCCGCUACAUUCAUUGAAUCCCAAAAGUUAAAGGAUCCAUACGUACACAUUUUUGUCUCUUGUUCUAGAAGUAGAACGGGCGAAGCAGUGCCGCAUUACAAGGAUGCUCCGUUUCCUCGCCGGAGGCAUCUCUCUUGCCCUUCUGCGGCUUCUGGGCGUCUAUUAGAUAGUACGCAUUGUUGUGCAACGCCUUCCUGAUGAUGAAAGGUCCCUCCCAUGGGGAAGAGAGCUUGUGCUGGCCGGCCGUUUGCAGGAUUCUUCUAAGUACCAGGUCCCCCUCAUGGAAAGAGAGAGGUCUGAUCCUUUUGCCGUGGUAGUGUCUCAGCUUCUGCUGGUAGAUGGCUGUUUGGCUCAGGGCCAGCUCCCGUGCCUCCUUGAUCAAAUCGACGCCGUCUUCUCUUGUCUCCCUUGCAUCCGCCUCUGUGUGCAGGGUGACACUCGGCAAGUCGAACUCGACAUCCGUGAGGAUUACCGCCUCGAACCCGUAGACGAGGAAGAAUGGCGUGAAGCCGGUUGAACGGUUUGGUGUGGUGCGAAGGCUCCACACCACAGCAGGCAACUCUUCUAUCCAGCAGCCGACUAACCUGAUGAGUGGUGCCAUGAGUCUUGGCUUGAUGUCGACCGAGAUUAGGUCGUUUGCCCUUUUUUCCUGGCCGUUUGAUUGCGGGUGCACGACCGAUGCUAGAUCAAGCUGGAUGCCCUCCUUGGCGUAGAAGAGCGCCAUUGCACCUUUGGCGAAGUUGGUGCCGUUGUCAGUGAUGAUGCUGUGGGGGACGCUGUUGCAGACGGUGAUGUCCUUGAUGAACCUGAAGGCAGUGGGACCGUCAAGCUUCUUGAUAGGCCUGGCCUCGAUCCACUUGGUGAACUUGUCGACGGCUACCAGGAGAUGCAUCAUGCCACCUCGGGUGGUCUUGAAUGGCCCUACCAUGUCGAACCCCCAGACGGCGAAGGGUCAUGAGAGGGGGAUGGUCUUGAGAGCCGUGGCCGGCAAGUGGCUUUGCGUGAUGAAGCGUUGGCAUCCUUCACACUUGUUGACCAGGGCUGUGGCCUCCUCCAGGGCCAUGGGCCAGUAGAAUCCGUGGCGGAACGCCUUGUCCACCAGGGUUAUGGAGGCGACAUGAUGCCCUCACUCGUCAUGAUGUAUGUUCUUGUGAAUUUCUUGCCCUUUCUCUGAUUCGACGCAGCAUUGAAAUACGCUAGUUGUACUGUGUUGAACCAGUUCACGGUUGAUGAUGGCGUAGGUGGGAGAUCGGCGGUGAAUCUGUCGUGCCUCCGCCUCGUUAGGAGGGAGCUCACCGCAAAGGAGGAAAGCCAGGAUGGGCUGGGCCCAUGUGGGAGCUGACACAGGAGCCGUCUCUGGCUUGGCCUGAAGUUUGGGGCAGCUAUAGCCCGCCGAGUUUGUCGUUGUAGCCCUGGAUACGAGACCUCUAGUCUCUGAUGUUGACGCGGCAGCCGACAUGCCAUCGACCUCCAUGACGGCCACCCACUGGGUGUUGAGCCAACUGGGUUCGAGGUUCGUCAUAGCCGGCGGAGUGGGUGGAGCCGACGAGGCAGUAGGAGCCGGCAGAGCCGGCGGAGUUGAUGAAGCCGAAAGGGCCUUCGGACCCGAAGUCGUCGGGCCGGUUGACUCCGCGGGCACGAAGAUCGACAACGACUCCGAAGAUGGCUUGAUGGACAUCUUGUGCAACUGCUCGAGGGAAACGCCGACCGAGAUUGCCUAUCUGGUGGAGCCAAUUUUUUCCAACGUAUCCGCCGCCUCGUUGUCCACUCGAGGGACAUGAUGGAAUUCGCGACCCUCGAAAGGGUCACUAAGCUGCUCGAUGAGGAAGCGGUAGCUGGCCAUGUUGGGGUCCUUGGCGUCCCAUUCGCCACAGACUUGGUGCACCACGAGGUCGGAGUCGCCGAAGCAAAGAAUUCAUUGGAUGUCGAUCUCUGUGGCAAGCCGGAGGCCGUGUGCGAGCACCUCGUACUCGGCGACGUUGUUGGAGACGGCAAAGUGGAUUUGGAGAGCAUAUUUGAGUUGGUCCCCUUUCGGGGACGACAACACGAUGUCGGCUCCCAGACCGGUCCACAUCUUGGAGCCAUCGAAGUGCAUCCACGAAUGCGUGGAGUCAGGAGGCAACGACAGGAACUGGGUCUCGGCCUAGUCGACGAGGAAAUUGGCCACCACCUGAGACUUGAUGGCGGUGCGCGGCUUGUAGCGGAUGUCGUGGUUGGCCAUGGCGAUGGACCACUUGGCAAUCCGGCCAGUGGCAUCACGAUUGCCCAUGAUUUGUAAAAGUGGAGUUGUGCUCACCACCGUAAUGGUGUGCUCCUGGAAGUAAUUCUUUAGCUUCUUGGCGGAAAAUUACACACCAUAGCACAUCUUUUGGUAGUGGGGGUAGUUUUGCUUAGAGGCGGAUAAGACUUCGCUCAAAUAGUAGACACGGCGCUGAACCGACAGCACCCUGCUCCCCUCAUUUCAUUCCACCACCAAGACGACACUGACCACGCGCGUGGUUGCCGCGAUGUAGACGAGUAUGGGUUUCCCCUCAGCCGACGCGGCCAAGAUAGGCAUGCUAGAGAUAACGCGCUUGAGGUCGCGGAAUGCUUCGUCCGCCUGAUCGUUCCACUCGAAUUUGGUUCUUCAUUAGCUGGUAGAGUGGCAGCGCCUUCCCACCCAGCCGGCUGAUGAACCGGAUGAGGGAUACUAGGCAAUCGGAAAAUUCUUAGACGUCGGGGAGUCAAUCCGGCUCGGCCAUGAGCUCCGAUGGUUCUUAUAUUCUCGGGGCCUCGAUGCCACGCGCCGACACGAAGAAACCCAGGAGUUUGCUGGCUGGAACUCCAAAGACGCACUUCUCCGGAUUGAGCUGGAUCUUGUACUCGCGCAGGUUGGAGAAGGUCACCCGUAGAUCGUCAAGGAGACUGAAAUGCUUCUUGGUUUUGACGACGAUGUUGUUGACGUAGACGUGUAUGUUCCUGCCGAUCUGUGGCAGGAGGCAUUGCUGCAUGCAACGCUGGAAGGUAGCGCCUACAUUUUUCAAGCCAAACGUCAUCGUCGUGUUGGAGUAAGCUCCGAAGNNNUCGUGUAGGAGUAAGCUCCGAAGGGGGUGAUGAAGGAGGCCUUGAGCCGGUCGGCCGGGUCCAGCUUGAUCUGGUGGUAGCAGGAAUAAGCGUCCAGAAAGGACAACAAGUCGCAGUUGGCCAUGGAGUCGAUCACUUGAUCUAUCUGUGGCAGGGCGAAAGGACCCUUCGGACAUGCCUUAUUCAGACUUGUAUAGUCGAUGCACAUGCGCCAUGUUUUGUUUUUCUUCAACACCAGGACUGGGUUGGCCAGCCAGUCCGGGUGGAAAAUUUCCAUGAAGAAGCCGGCUGCGAGCAGCCAGGCGAUCUCUUCUCCGAUUGUGCGUCGCUUCCCCUCGGCAAAGUUGCGCAAAGGUUGUUUGAACGACUUUGCAUCCGGCCGCACAUGAAGCUUGUGCUCGGCGUACUUCCUCGGGAAUCCUGGCAUGUCCUUGGGGGACUAUGCAAAGAUAUCUCGAUUCUCACGGAGGAAGUCGAUGAUCUCGCCUUCCUAUUUGGGACCGAGGUUGCCGCCGAUGGUGACGCACUGCUUGGGGUUGGCCCGGUCGAGUGGCACUUGCUUGGUCUCCUUGGAGGGCUCGAACGAGGCCUCGCUGACCGACUGGGACGGAGGAGUGGUCAGGGCCUGCUGCUCAGUGGCCUGAGCCACGAGCCGACCGAGCUGCCUCUUCUCCUCGGCAAUCACUAGUGCCUCGGUCAGCCGGCUGUUGUCGCAUGCGCAACCGACUGACUUCUCGUAGUUGUCGGCAACAGUGAUAAUGCCCUUGGGCCCAUGCAUCUUCAUCUUGAGGUAGGCGUAAUGGGGGAUCGCCAUGAACUUGGCAAGCACCGGCCUGCGUAGCAGUGUGUGGUAGGGGAUGCCGAGGUUCACAACCUCGAACCAGAUCGUCUCGCGGCAGAAAUGGGCCUUGUCGCCAAAGAGGACGUCCAGCUGGAUCUUGCCGAUGGGCGAGCAAGAUUGUCCCGACAAAAUGUCAUGGAAGACAGUCCUCGUCGGCUGCAGGUUCUUCUCCUUGAGCCCGAGCUUGAGCAGGGUGUCGCGGUAGAGGAUGUUGAUGCUGCUACCGCCAUCGACCAUCACCCGUGAGAACCGGCAGGUGAGUAUCUUGGAGGUGAUGGUGGGGUCGAGGACGAUCGCGUAUCUGCCGGGGUUCGGCAUCACCGCAGGAUGGUCCGCCCGGCUCCAUGUAAUUGGCUUUUCAGACCAAUGCAUGUUUUGUGGAACCAAGGGGACCGUGGCAUUCACCUCAUGCCGGCGCUUACGCUGGUUGCGCUUGUCGUCGCCCUUACUGGUGAAGAUGACGUAGGCCCCGUCUUGAUCGGGGAACUGAUCAUGGAGACGACCGUCAUUGGGCGGUGGCGGAGCUGGGGCCGGACCCGGUCCAGGAGCCGAAGCUCGAGGAGACGGCCCCGGGGGAGCCGACAGACCCUCACCCGAAGCCAGGCGCUAUGAGAAGUUGCACUGCCGGAGCAUGUGGGUGGCCGGCUUCGCCCCGGUGUGCAUAUUUCAGGGUGCAUCGAGCAUCUGCUCGAAGGUGAGCUUGGGUUGCCACACGUUCUUGCCGGUUCGUUGUCGCUGAGCACCGGGUUGCGCAGCCGGCUGAUCUUCCGCGACGUUCACCACUUGCUUGCUUUCGGGCUGCGGGUCGAGUUGAUCCGCCUUGCGCUUGUUGUUUUGCUCGCCUCGGUUGUCGCCACUCGGCCAGUUGUAGCAGGCGGCGGGACGGGCUUGUCCGUUGCGUUGACCUUGAUCUGCAUCGCAGAGUCGACAAUGGCAUACUUGUAUGCCUUGUCCAUGAGUGUCGCCCGCCCGCCCAAGAGGUAGGCUCAGAGAACAUAAGCUUGUGUUUGAGAAGGGUGCCGUCUCGGCAGCCUUUGAUGAAGUACUGAAUGGCAUGUACCUCAUGCACUCCUUCGCAGAAGUUGCACAAUUUUGUCUAACACAUGACGUAGUCCCGGAGGGGGUCGUCGGGCUUGUGGACGCACAUGGCCAGCUCGCGGGGGCGGCCAGGGCGUUUGUAAGUGCCGAUAAAGUUGCGGACGAAGGCCUCUUCGAAGCCAACCCAGGUGUUGACGCAGUCGGUUGGCAGGCUAUUAAGCCAUGUCCGAGUCGAGCCGAUCAACAUGAGUGGCACAUAGCGGACGACUACGCGCUUGUUGCCCCUGGCUAUGCCGACUGUGGUGGUGUAGUCGAUCAGCCAGUCCUCCGGCUUGGCGAAGCAGUUGUAUUUUGGAGUAUCGCGGGGAAGGGUAAAGCCAGAAGGAAAUGGCUCCCCGCGGAUCUGGGGGCCGAAGCAUGCCGGACCGAUGGGACCCUCCUCCUCCACGAGGUCCGACUGCGCUAGCCGGUCGAGGCGGGUGCGAGCGUCGUUCUCGCUACGGGGGACACGGGGACCGAGCCGAGCUACGAGUUCGGGUCGGACAAGAGGCACGCGCGUGUGGGCCUUCUCCCACCGCUGAGGUGGGGGAACUUCGUGGACUGAGCCGCCCUCAUCUCCAGCCUACUCACGGAGACGACUCGAGGCCGCCUGACGUUCGCUCCGGCGCUGGGAACGCCGACUACGACUCCCCUCGGCCUUCCAGCCGGAGCCGUGAGGGGAGGAAGAACGCUGAGCCUGCUGGCGGCUGCUGCGUAUCUGGUAACCCUCAUAGUCGAAGCCAGGGGACACAGAGAAACCAUGGUCCGGGUCGAGGCGCCCCUGUUGAUCGUUGGCAGCAGCGAGGAGCUCCUUGAUGUGCUUUUCUUGCCGCACACGCUCCUCACCCUCCAGGGUGUCCAUCUCAUCAGGGGCCGCCUGGGCGGCCCGCAUGUUGGCCGCGGGGGUGUCAUAGAUGGGCAACUUGCCGCCUAGGAUUUCGGCAACAACCCGACCGCGACCGUGAAUGUCACCACGUCGGCUGGGUCCGUCAGCGGCUGGGGAGAAGCCGUAAGCGAAGCUGUACUCACGCUGCGCAACCUCCAUCCGGUGCUUGGCGGUUGCGAGGGCGGUGCGUGAUUGGUCUCCAACGUAUCUGUAAUUUUUGAUUGUUCCAUGCUAUUAUAUUAUAUGUUUUGGAUGUCUUAUAUGCAUUUAUAUAUUGUUUUAUAUUAUAUUUGGGACUAACCUAUUAACCUAGAGCCUAGUGCCAGUUUUUGUUUUUUUUCUUCACAUUUUUGAAUAUUGCAAAUAAGGAAUAUUAAAUGGAUUCCAAAUGGAAUAAAAUCUCCUCGAAGAUUUUUCUUGGACCAGAAGACAUGCAACAGACUUGGAGUAGGGGGCAAGGCAGUUGCCGGGAGGCCACAAGCCUGCAGGGCGCAUCGUCGGGGGGUGGCCGCGCCCCCUGGUUUGUGGGACCUCUGCAGGUCUCCUAACCCAAAUUCUUUGCCUAUAAAAUCCCAAAUAUUCCAGUAUCGCAAAAAAGAUCAACGAAAAUACUUUUACGCCGUCGGGACCCUCUGUUCCCAAGAGAUCCAAUAUGGGAGCCAUUUCCGGUAAUCUGCCGGAGAGGGAAUUGAUCACGAAGGGCAUCUACAUCAGCUUCACUGCCCCUCCGAUGAUGUGUGAGUAGUUCACCAUAGACCUACGGGUCCAUAGCUAGUAGCUAGAUGGCUUCUUCUCUCUCUUUGAUCUUCAAUACCAUGUUCUUCAUGAUCUUCAUGGUGAUCUAUCCGAUGUAAUACUCUUUUGCGGUGUGUUUGUGGAGAUCCGGUGAAUUGUGAGUUUAUGUUCAGAUUAUCCAUGAAUGUUAUUUGAGUCUCUUCUNNNNNNNNNNNNNNNNNNNNNNNNNNNNNNNNNNNNNNNNNNNNNNNNNNNNNNNNNNNNNNNNNNNNNNNNNNNNNNNNNNNNNNNNNNNNNNNNNNNNGAGAUUGAAGAACUACACGAUCUUGGAAGAUCAAAUCUUGAUCAAGGCUUGGAGUACGGUGUCUAUGGAUCCUUGCACAUGUGUGUCCCAAGCCGCCAAGACGUAUUGGCAAAGAAUUGAAGAUAAAUACUUCCAAUUCAUGGCCAAGUAUCCCAACAGGACAACAUGGACCUUUCGGUCACUCCAAGGUCGUUGGGACGUGAUCAAGACGACUUGUAGCCGUUGGGUAGCUUUCUUGGAACAAGUUCACAAUACUCCUCCAAGUGGAACCGUCGAAUCCGACUAUGUGAGUUGGUUCAUGUCAAAUGGUUCCAUCAGUUUGCAUAAUAUAAAAUGGUUCCAUCAGUUUGACUUUGUUUUAAUUGUGUAGGAAAAACUUGUCCAACAACCAUAUAAAGACAUGCAUGUCUCCGAAGGCAAAAAAAAAGCAUCGUUGGGAAUUGCGCAAAAACUGCGACAAGUGGGCGUCGAUUGACAGAGAAUUCCCAGCGAAGAGAGGUUCAUUUAUGGACAUGGAUGAACAUGAAGAUGAUGAUGUACCAAGAAACUUGAACAAGCUCAAUGGUGACAAAAAGACAAAGGAGAAGAUUAAAAGGGAACACGAAGCAUCAACCUUGCUGGACAAGAUAGAUUCCAUGCUGCAAUCAAAUGAGGUAUUGCUAGCAAAGUCUUUGGAGGCAAAGAUAGAGUUGGUCGAGAAGAAGGCACGAGAGAACCAAGAGAGGUGGAAAUUCCUCAAGGAAGUUGAGGAGAGAAAAGCACGUGUCGCUGAGAACAAAACCAUGGCCCACCUUCUUGCCAAAGAGAAUAGGAUUAUGACUUUGAACCACAAUGACAAGGACGACGUCAGCAAAGAAUGGAAUGAUAUGACAAGGAGAGAAAUCUUGAAGAGCAGGAUGUUUGUGUGUUACAAUGGCGGCGAUGGUUUCUCCUCUGGAAUCGGAACCGAUGAUAUCAAUGCCGGAGUAGGGACAAGUGCCGGAGUAGGAACAAGUGCACGCGAUGGAUUCGGGGGCGGCGAUGACCUCGAUGGUGUAGACUGAAGAACGACCAGGAUGCAUGAAGUCCUUUUGCAUUUGUCUUUUAAACUAUGCUCUCAUUUCACGCGCGAACUAUGUNNNNNNNNNNNNNNNNNNNNNNNNNNNNNNNNNNNNNNNNNNNNNNNNNNNNNNNNNNNNNNNNNNNNNNNNNNNNNNNNNNNNNNNNNNNNNNNNNNNNUUGUUUUCUAGUGUCAAACCUAAUGAUGAUGGGGCUGGAUAUGAAUCCACCUUGGUUGAAAAACGCCCCAAUGAUUCGGAGUCCAUCUAUCUUGAUGCUAAAAGCAUUGAAAGUGGAGUAGAGAAUAUCAAAACUUUGAGUAGUAAUGAAACUACUACUUUGGAUUUCAAGGAAUUCAAUUAUGAUAGUUGCUCUUUGGUUGAAUGUAUUUCCUUGAUGCAAUCCAUGCUAAAAUCUUGAUACAUCUCAAACGUAUCUAUAAUUUUUGAUGAUUUCAUGCUGUUAUCUUGUCAACUUUGGAUGUUUUAUAUACCUUUUAUAUCUUUUUUGGGACUAACUUAUUAAUUCAGUGCCAAGUGCCAGUUCCUAUUUUUUCUGUGUUUUUGACUCUUUUUCAGAUCUGAUUUUGGAACGGAGUCCAAACGGAAUAAAAUCCCCGAAAUAAAAUUUUCCAGAACAGAAGAAGAUCAGGGGACUUGAGGGCCAAGGCAGGAGGCCUACAGGGAGCUCACAAGCCGUGACGCCGCGGCCAGGGGGGCCCGCGGUGACCAGGCUUGUGGCCUCUCUGGCGCUCCCCUGCCCUAGCUCUUUGGCCUAUAAAUUCCCUAAAAUCCUAGAAAAAAUCAGGGCGUCCACGAAAACAUUCCGCCGCCGCAAGCUUCCGUUUCCGCGAGAUCUCAUCUGGAGACCCUUCCCGGUGCCCCGUCGGAGGGGACUUUGGAGUUGGAGGGCUUCUACAUCAACAUCAUCACCUCUCCAAUGACUCAUGAGUAGUCCACUUUAGACCUACGAGUCCGUAGUUAGUAGCUAGAUGCUUCUUCUCUCUCUCUUGGAUCUUCAAUACAAAGUUCUCCAUGAUCUUCAUGGAGAUCUAUCCGAUGUAAUCCUCUUUGGCGGUGUGUUUGUCGAGAUCCGAUGAAUUGUGGAUUUGUGAUCAGAUUAUCUAAGAAUUAUAUUUGAGUCUUUGCUGAUUUCUUAUAUGCAUGAUUUGAUAUCCUUGUAAGUCUCUCCGAGUCUUGGGUUUUGUUUGGCUAACUAGAUCUAUGAUUCUUGCAAUGGGAGAAGUGCUUGGUUUUGGGUUCAUACCGUGCGGUGACCUUUCCCAGUGACAGAAGGGGCAGCAAGGCACACAUCAUGUUGUUGCCAUCAAGAGUAACAAGAUGGGCUUUCAUCAUAGAUUUGAGAUUGUCCAUCUACAUCAUGUCAUGUUGCUUAAGGCGUUACUCUGUUCUUAUGAACUCAAUACACUAGAUGCAUGCUGGAUAGCGGUCGACGUGUGGAGUAAUAGUAGUAGAUGCAGAAAGUAUCGGUCUACUUGUUUUGGACGUGAUGCCUAUAGAUAUGAUCAUUUCCAUAGAUAACAUCAUGACUUUGCGCGGUUCUAUCAAUUGCUCGACAGUAAUUUUUUCACCCACCGUCUACUUGCUUUCAUGAGAGAAGCCACUAGUGAACACUACGGCCCCCGGGUCUAUUCACAACUAUCGUCUCCACUUUUACUUUUACUUUGCUUUGUUUACUUUUUUGCUUUCAAUUCUCACUUUGCAAACAAUCUAUAAGGGAUUGACAACCCCUUCAAAGCGUUGGGUGCAAGCUCUUUGUGUUUGUGCAGGUACUUGUGACUUGACGCAAUCCUCCGACUGGAUUGAUACCUUGGUUCUCAAACUGAGGGAAAUACUUACCGCCGCUGUGAUACAUCACCCUUUCCGCUUCAAGGGAACACCAACGCAAGGCUCCAAGGCCGCGGGGGAAUCCUUUGCAUAUUUGCCAAGGAAGUCCCUAUAGGCGUAGCCUGUAGCAGAAGGAUUCCUGGCGCCGUUGCCAGGGAAGGUCUUUUGUUGCCGUAGCAACUCUCCACACGCUUAUAGCCAAAACAAGGCCUUUACCGAUCAUAUCAUCGAUGCUAUGAUAAAAUCUCUUGAAAAGAAACUUGAAUUGGAAGUUUCUAUUCCUAGAAAACUUCAUGAUGAGUGGGAACCUACUAUCAAAAUCAAGAUAAAAAAACUAUGAAUGCAAUGCUUUGUGUGAUUUGGGUGCUAGUGUUUCUGCGAUUCCAAAGUCUUUAUGUGAUGUUCUAGGUUUCAAUGAGAUUGAUGAGUGCUCUCUUAAUUUGCAUCUUGCGGAUUCUACUGUUAAGAAACCAAUGGGGAGGAUCAAUGAUGUUCUUAUUAUUGCAAAUAGGAACUAUGUACCCGUGGAUUUCAUUGUGCUUGAUAUUGAUUGCAAUCCUACAUGUUCUAUCAUUCUUGGUAGACCUUUCCUAAGGACUAUUGGUGCUAUCAUCGAUAUGAAGGAAGGGAAUAUUAGAUUUCAAUUUCCUUUAAAGAAGGGCAUGGAACAUUUUCCUAGAAAGAAAAUAAGAUUGCCUUAUGAAUCCAUGAUGAGGGCUACUUAUGGUUUGAGUACCAAAGACGACGAUACAUGAUUCUAUCACCUUAUGCCUAGCUAAGGGCGUUAAACAAUAGCGCUUGUUGGGAGGCAACCCAAUGAACUUAUCUUUGCUUUUUUGCUUUCUGUUUUGUUGCGUCCACACCAUCAUAAUUCUGUUAUGAUUGUGUCUUUUGUGUUUCUUUUUGUGUUAGUGCCAAGUAAAGCCUUUAUGACUAGUUUGGUGAUGGUUGUUUGAUCCUGCUGGAAAAAGACAGAAACUUUUCGCUCAUGAAAUUAUUUGUCAUUUUUAUCCAGAAAGAGCUUUUGAGUUGAUUCUUUUUGCUGCUGGUUGAUUUUUCUUUUUUUCAAACUAUCGUAAUUUUCAGAAUUUUUGAGAUACCAGAAGUAUACGAAGUAUACAGAUUGCUAUAGACUGGUCUGUUUUUGUUGUGUUGAUUGCUUAUUUUGAUGAAACUAUGGUUAGUAUAGGGGGGUAUUAGCCAUGGGAAAGUGAUAAUACAGUAAUAUAACACCAAUAUAAAUAGAAAUCAAGUUUUCUGCAGUACCUAAAGAGGUGGUCAUUUGUUUUCUUGUGCUAAUGAUAUCACGAGUUUCUGUUUAAGUUUUGUGUUGUGAAGUUUUCAAGUUUUGGGUGAUGUUCUGAUGGACAAAGGAAUAAAGAGUGGAAAGAUCUCAAGCUUGGGGAUGCCCAAGGCAUCCCAAGCCAAAUUCAAGGACAUCAAAAAUCCUAAGCUUGGGGAUGCCCCGGGAAGGCAUCCCCUCUUUCGUCUUCAANNNNNNNNNNNNNNNNNNNNNNNNNNNNNNNNNNNNNNNNNNNNNNNNNNNNNNNNNNNNNNNNNNNNNNNNNNNNNNNNNNNNNNNNNNNNNNNNNNNNUUAUGCUGAAAUUUUUGAAGUUCAAGAGAAAAGUGAAUAAAGACCCACCACACCUUGUAGCAACUACUCCUACUAGUGCCUAGAGACUGUAUCACGCGCUAAAACUACUUGGGACCGGCUAAAAUCAAGCUUUCUAGCUCAAGAACAGGGUCACCAAGGUAGCAAGAAUACGCGAAGGAUAAAGCACUAGAGCAAAAACUAAUUGGACCAAUGGAGGAGUCACUUACCAAGGAGUAAUUUCCCCAAAACGGUUCGGAGAAUGGUGCUUUCAGCAAGGAGAUCGAAAAUCACAGCCAAAUGAGCAAGAACACGGGUUUGAGCUGCGAAACAAUUUUUUCUGGAGGUGGAAGAAGAGGCUCGGAGCUGGAAUGAGUGGAGGGGUGCCUGUGGGCCCCACAAGCUUGCACCCCGCCACCACGGGGUAGGUGGCGGUGGCAGGGCUUGUGGCCCACUCGUCAGGCCCCCAGGCCAACUCUCAGGCCCAGAAAUUUUCAAAAAUUCCAGAAAAAAUCAUACUAAAUUUUCAGGACCAUCGGAGAACUUUUAUUUUCGAGGUACUUUUCUCCGGGGUGCUAAAACAGAAAACAGGAAAAACUAAACUAAUUCUAUCAUUUUUCUUCUAAGCAAAAGAAAAUGAAAGCUCAAAACAGAGGUAUGUGACUCUUUGAUUCAUCUGUUUCAUGGUCAUCGAAAGAAAUCCGUCAAUGGGGUUGAUCAAGUCCUUAUGACAAAACCUUCUCGAAUCUCAAGAGAGAACGGAGAAUUUUCGAAUAGCCACUAAGUCACCUCAAUGGGGAUAUGUAUCUCCCCAACGAGAAAAUCAUACUUCAUCUUGACACGAGGAAUAGGGCAUUCAAAGCUCCCAAUAAGAAUCGAUGAAGUCUUUUCGGUAGCAUUGAUGCAAUGUACUUGAUAUCGUUUCUUUGGAAAGUGUAUUGUGUGCUCAUUACCGUUGACAUGGAAAGUGACAUUGCCUUUGUUGCAAUCUAUAACAGCCCUUGCAGUGUUUAAAAAGGGUCUUCCGAGGAUGACAGCCAUGGCAUCGUCCUCGGGAAUAUCCAAGGUGUGCUAGCCUUCUCUAUGGCAUUUUCAUGCUUCAUGUCUGUACUCGGAUAUUUGUUGCUUCCGCUGACUCGUGUGUUUACCGAGCUUCUGUAUUCUAGCCCUCGAGGCCCCUGGCUUGUAAUAUGAAGCUUGUAUGUUUUUAUUUGUGUCUAGAGUUGUGUUGUGAUAUCUUCCCGUGAGUCCUUGAGCUUGGUCGUACGCAUUUGCGUGUAUGAUUAGCGUACGAUCAAGUCCAGGGUGUCACAGAUAACCCCGGGGUAGGCUCACCAGGCCUACUCCUUCACACUUCGGCAUAGAGUGGGGCGAAAGCCUCCUCAGAUGUCGGCUCCUCCUCGCCGGCUGUGUAGCCCGCUGUAACACCCUGUGUUUAGCUUUCCUGACUAAUUUACUUAUUUCAAAAAUUAGGACCUAUUAAUUUUUUUGUGAAUGCUUGUGAUGCUUGAAGUGACUGUUGUUUCCUUGCUUGCUUGUAUGCGUGUGGUUGAUCCUCAAUAAUUCCCGUUACUCUCUAGACUCACCUCCUUAGCCCAUAACACCUGCCUAAUGAUGAGGCCAUGUGUUUGGGACCAGAAACUAUUUUUACCAAAUAUUAUUUUCACCAAAAAUCAUUUCUUUGAAUUAAGCUUUCAAAGCCCGUGAGAUGGGAUUUGUACUACAAGUCCUCAAAUUAGGGAAUUUAUUUUGCCNNNNNNNNNNNNNNNNNNNNNNNNNNNNNNNNNNNNNNNNNNNNNNNNNNNNNNNNNNNNNNNNNNNNNNNNNNNNNNNNNNNNNNNNNNNNNNNNNNNNUUACCGCUAUCAUUUUGGGGAUACGCAUUAGAAACUGCAACAUUCACUUCAAAUAGGGCACCGUCUAAAUCCGUUGAGACGACACUGUAUGAACUAUGGUUUGGCAAGAAACCGAAGUUGUCAUUUUUUAAAGUUUGGGGUUGUGAUGCUUAUGUGAAGAAACUUCAACCAGAAAAGCUCGAACCCAAAGCAGAGAAAUGCGUGUUCAUAGGAUACCCUAAGGAAACUAUUGGGUAUACCUUCUAUCUUAGAUCCGAAGGUAAAACCUUUGUUGCCAAGAACGGAUCCUUUCUAGAGAAAGAGUUUCUCUCAAAAGAAGUAAGUGGGAGGAAGGUAGAACUUGAUGAGGUAAUUACACCCCCUCUCGAACAGGAUAGUAGCACAGCGCGGGAAGUUGUUCCUGUGGCGCCUACACCAACUGAAGAGGAAGUUAAUGAUGAUGAUCAUGAAGCUUCGGAUCAAGUUACUACUGAACCGCNNNNNNNNNNCGUAAUUACACCCCUCUCGAACAGGAUAGUAGCGCAGCGCGGGAAGUUGUUCCUGUGGCGCCUACACCGACUGAAGAGGAAUUUAAUGAUGAUGAUCAUGAAGCUUCGGAUCAAGUUACUACUGAACCGCGAAGGUCCGCAAGGGCACGAUCCGCACCAGAGUGGUACGGCAACCCUGUGAUGGAAAUCAUGUUGUUAGACAACGGUGAACCUUCGAACUAUGAAGAAGCGAUGGCGGGCCCGGAUUCCAACAAAUGGCUUGAGGCUAUGAAAUCCGAGAUAGGAUCCAUGUAUGAGAACAAAGUAUGGACUUUGGUGGACAUGCCCGAUGACCGGCGAGCCAUAGAAAAUAAAUGGAUCUUCAAGAAGAAGACUGAUGCAAACGGUAAUGUAACCGUUUACAAAGCUCGACUUGUCGCAAAGGGUUUUCGACAAAUUCAAGGAGUUGACUACGAAGAGACUUUCUCUCCCGUAGUGAAGCUGAAAUCAGUCUGAAUCAUGUUAGCAAUUGCCGCCUUUUAUGAUUAUGAAAUUUGGCAAAUGGACGUCAAAACAGCGUUCCUGAACGGGAACCUUAAGGAAGAGUUGUAUAUGAUGCAACCAGAAGGUUUUGUCGACCCUAAGGGUGCUAACAAAGCGUGGAAGCUCCACUACGGGUACCCGUUGACUAAACCUCUUCCACGAGCAAAACAUGAUCAACACCAUAAUGCUAUGAGUGUUCGAUACAUCACAAUGUAACUAGAUUAUUGACUCUAGUGCAAGUGGGAGACUGUUGGAAAUAUGCCCUAGAGGCAAUAAUAAAAUGGUUAUUAUCAUAUUUUGUUGUUCAUGAUAAUCGUCUAUCGUUCAUGCUAUAAGUGUAUUAACAGGAAACAGUAAUACAUGUGUGAAUAAAUAGAUCACAAUNNNNNNNNNNGCUCCUGAUGAUGUUGUAGUACGACGUAGCAUCCAUCGCCUUCUUGGGACUUUCUUUCCUGAGCUUGAGUUGUGCCUCCAUUGGAGCACACACCAUGCUCAGAGGUGAUGUGUCAGAACCCAAGGGACGCGAAGCUUGCAUUGAGCUUUUGUGUUCCACGCCCUUUGGGCUUGCCGGAGACGGUACAUGGUCUUAUGUAGCUACUGCACACCCUCCUCUUGAUUCCCAGAGAUAAACCUUGGUGGGUGGGAGAGGUACACCUCCUCGUUAAGGUCUUUAUUGAGGAACAGUGACUUAACGUCCAUGUGAUGCACCUUCCAUCAGUGGUGAGCAGCCACGACAAGGAUGAGCCACACAAACUCCUGCCUUGCCACUGUUGGAAAUAUGCCCUAGAGGCAAUAAUAAAAUGGUUAUUAUCAUAUUUCCUUGUCCAUGAUAAUCGUCUAUUGUUCAUACUAUAAUUGUAUUAACAGGAAACAGUAAUACAUGUGUGAAUAAAUAGAUCACAAUGUGUCCCUAGCAAGCCUCUAAUGGGCUAGCUCGUUAGUCAAUAGAUGAUCAUGGUUUCCUAAUCAUGGGCAUUAGAUGUCAUUGAUAACGGGAUCACAUCAUUGGGAGAAUGAUGUGAUGGACAAGACCCAAUCCUAAGCAUAGCACUAGAUCGUAUUGUUCGUAUGCUAAAGCUUUUCUAAUGUCAAGUAUAUUUUCCUUCGAUUGUGAGAUUGUGCAACUCCCGGAUACCGUAGGAGUGCUUUGGGUGUAUCAAACGUCAGAACUUAAAUGGGUGACUAUAAAGGUGCACUACGGGUACCUCCGAAAGUGUCUGUUGGGUUGGUACGAACCGAGAUCGGAAUUUGUCACUCCGUGUGACGGAGAGGUAUCUCUGGGCCCACUCGGUAGAACAUCAUCAUGCCUUCAAUGUGACUAAGGAGUUAGUCACACGAUGACGUGCUACGGAACGAGUAAAGAGACUUACCGGUAACGAGAUUGAACACGGUAUAGGUAUGCUGACGAUCGAAUCUCGGGCAAGUUCUGUACCGACAGACAAAGGGAAUCGNNNNNNNNNNNNNNNNNNNNNNNNNNNNNNNNNNNNNNNNNNNNNNNNNNNNNNNNNNNNNNNNNNNNNNNNNNNNNNNNNNNNNNNNNNNNNNNNNNNNCCCGUGAAUUUAAAGAUUGAUGGCGAACUUUUGUGGUGCCUCGCAAAAGAAUUUACGAGCCGGACGUGUUUGCAGGGUCUGAUUCGGCAGCAUUUUUUAUCUUGACCCGUAUUUUAGUGGUUAUUUUGUAGGUCGGGGCAUUAUACGGGGUCUGCUAGAGAUGCUCUAACCCAUGCAACUCUGCCAAAAGCUGGCAAGCAUGAACCCAAGUGCAGCUGUAAAGGUUAAUGAUAUAACUAGUGCAGUAAUUAGAAGCGAAUGAGUGAACACAUGCAUGUGUGCCCCUCAUGCGUGUCAUUGCGAAUUUCUCAACUCUCACUCCCAGGUUAGCUUGCAGUUGGUUCUUGGUUCUCGGUCAAAGUCAAUAAUAUACUCAUUUUGUUUUGGCGGAUAUGGCAUCAUCUACGUGAAGAAUUUCUGUCCAUCAGUUUUGGUUGAAAGCCUGGUCAAAGCUGGCGACAUAAUGUCGACAUGCCUUGCGAUAAACACUCACACUUUGCGCACCUCCCAAACUUUCAGUCCAGAACUAGUUUUCUUUAUAUGCCUAAGCUACUGGGUUGGCAUUACCUAGUUUGGGAGAUUAUAUCGUUUNNNN
rnacentral:lncRNA from 1 species